rnacentral:rRNA from 1 species
UACGUAGGUGGCAAGCGUUGUCCGGAUUUAUUGGGCGUAAAGGGAGCGCAGGCGGUGACUUAAGUCUGAUGUGAAAGCCCACGGCUCAACCGUGGAAGGUCAUUGGAAACUGGGUCACUUGAAUACAGAAGAGGAAAGUGGAAUUCCAUGUGUAGCGGUGAAAUGCGUAGAUAUAUGGAGGAACACCAGUGGCGAAGGCGACUUUCUGGUCUGUUAUUGACGCUGAGGCUCGAAAGCAUGGGUAGCAAACAGGAUUAGAUA